CAGCCGCCACGGUAAUACGAAGGGGGCUAGCGUUGCUCGGAAUUACUGGGCGUAAAGGGAGCGUAGGCGGACAUUUAAGUCAGGGGUGAAAUCCCAGAGCUCAACUCUGGAACUGCCUUUGAUACUGGGUGUCUUGAGUGUGAUAGAGGUAUGUGGAACUCCGAGUGUAGAGGUGAAAUUCGUAGAUAUUCGGAAGAACACCAGUGGCGAAGGCGACAUACUGGAUCAUUACUGACGCUGAGGCUCGAAAGCGUGGGGAGCAAACAGGAUUAGAUACCCGCGUAGUCCCUGUCUCUUAUAC
rnacentral:rRNA from 1 species